AGCGAACGCUGGCGGCAGGCCUAACACGUGCAAGUCGAGCGGCCGUAGCAAUACGGCAGCGGCAGACGGGAUAGUAACACGUGGGAACGCGCCCUUGGUUCGGAAUAACUCAGGGAAACUUGAGCUAAUACCGGAUACGCCCUUACGGGGAAAGAUUUAUUGCCGAAGGAACGGCCCGCGUCGGAUUAGCUAGUUGGUGAGGUAAUGGCUCACCAAGGCGACGAUCCGUAGCUGGUCUGAGAGGAUGACCAGCAUCACUGGGACUGAGACACGGCCCAGACUCCUACGGGAGGCAGCAGUGGGGAAUAUUGGACAAUGGGCGCAAGCCUGAUCCAGCCAUGCCGCGU
rnacentral:rRNA from 1 species